rnacentral:rRNA from 1 species
UGGGCGAAAGCCUGAUCCAGCCAUGCCGCGUGUGUGAAGAAGGUCUUCGGAUUGUAAAGCACUUUAAGUUGGGAGGAAGGGCAGUAAAUUAAUACUUUGCUGUUUUGACGUUACCGACAGAAUAAGCACCGGCUAACUCUGUGCCAGCAGCCGCGGUAAU